AUUGAACGCUGGCGGCAGGCCUAACACAUGCAAGUCGAACGGUAACAGGAAGCAGCUUGCUGCUUUGCUGACGAGUGGCGGACGGGUGAGUAAUGUCUGGGAAACUGCCCGAUGGAGGGGGAUAACUACUGGAAACGGUAGCUAAUACCGCAUAACGUCGCAAGACCAAAGAGGGGGACCUUAGGGCCUCUUGCCAUCGGAUGUGCCCAGAUGGGAUUAGCUAGUAGGUGGGGUAACGGCUCACCUAGGCGACGAUCCCUAGCUGGUCUGAGAGGAUGACCAGCCACACUGGAACUGAGACACGGUCCAGACUCCUACGGGAGGCAGCAGUGGGGAAUAUUGCACAAUGGGCGCAAGCCUGAUGCAGCCAUGCCGCGUGUAUGAAGAAGGCCUUCGGGUUGUAAAGUACUUUCAGCGGGGAGGAAGGGAGUAAAGUUAAUACCUUUGCUCAUUGACGUUACCCGCAGAAGAAGCACCGACUAACUCCGUG
rnacentral:rRNA from 1 species